rnacentral:rRNA from 1 species
CUGACCGAUAGUGAACCAGUACCGUGAGGGAAAGGCGAAAAGAACCCCGGCGAGGGGAGUGAAAAAGAACCUGAAACCGUGUACGUACAAGCAGUGGGAGCACCUUCGGGUGUGACUGCGUACCUUUUGUAUAAUGGGUCAGCGACUUAUAUUCUGUAGCAAGGUUAACCGUAUAGGGGAGCCGCAGGGAAACCGAGUCUUAACUGGGCGUUAAGUUGCAGGGUAUAGACCCGAAACCCGGUGAUCUAGCCAUGGGCAGGUUGAAGGUUGGGUAACACUAACUGGAGGACCGAACCGACUAAUGUUGAAAAAUUAGCGGAUGACUUGUGGCUGGGGGUGAAAGGCCAAUCAAACCGGGAGAUAGCUGGUUCUCCCCGAAAGCUAUUUAGGUAGCGCCUCGUGAAUUCAUCUUCGGGGGUAGAGCACUGUUUCGGCUAGGGGGUCAUCCCGACUUACCAACCCGAUGCAAACUACGAAUACCGAAGAAUGUUAUCACGGGAGACACACGGCGGGUGCUAACGUCCGUCGUGAAGAGGGAAACAACCCAGACCGCCAGCUAAGGUCCCAAAGUCAUGGUUAAGUGGGAAACGAUGUGGGAAGGCACAGACAGCCAGGAUGUUGGCUUAGAAGCAGCCAUCAUUUAAAGAAAGCGUAAUAGCUCACUGGUCGAGUCGGCCUGCGCGGAAGAUGUAACGGGGCUAAACCAUGCACCGAAGCUGCGGCAGCGACACUAUGUGUUGUUGGGUAGGGGAGCGUUCUGUAAGCCUGCGAAGGUGGCCUGUGAGGGCUGCUGGAGGUAUCAGAAGUGCGAAUGCUGACAUAAGUAACGAUAAAGCGGGUGAAAAGCCCGCUCGCCGGAAGACCAAGGGUUCCUGUCCAACGUUAAUCGGGGCAGGGUGAGUCGACCCCUAAGGCGAGGCCGAAAGGCGUAGUCGAUGGGAAACAGGUUAAUAUUCCUGUACUUGGUGUUACUGCGAAGGGGGGACGGAGAAGGCUAUGUUAGCCGGGCGACGGUUGUCCCGGUUUAAGCAUGUAGGCGGAGGUUCCAGGUAAAUCCGGUACCUUUUAACGCUGAGAUGUGAUGACGAGGCACUACGGUGCUGAAGUAACAAAUGCCCUGCUUCCAGGAAAAGCCUCUAAGCAUCAGGUAACAUCAAAUCGUACCCCAAACCGACACAGGUGGUCAGGUAGAGAAUACCAAGGCGCUUGAGAGAACUCGGGUGAAGGAACUAGGCAAAAUGGUGCCGUAACUUCGGGAGAAGGCACGCUGGUGUGUAGGUGAAGUCCCUGCGGAUGGAGCUGAGACCAGUCGAAGAUACCAGCUGGCUGCAACUGUUUAUUAAAAACACAGCACUGUGCAAACACGAAAGUGGACGUAUACGGUGUGACGCCUGCCCGGUGCCGGAAGGUUAAUUGAUGGGGUUAUCCGUAAGGAGAAGCUCUUGAUCGAAGCCCCGGUAAACGGCGGCCGUAACUAUAACGGUCCUAAGGUAGCGAAAUUCCUUGUCGGGUAAGUUCCGACCUGCACGAAUGGCGUAAUGAUGGCCAGGCUGUCUCCACCCGAGACUCAGUGAAAUUGAACUCGCUGUGAAGAUGCAGUGUACCCGCGGCAAGACGGAAAGACCCCGUGAACCUUUACUAUAGCUUGACACUGAACAUUGAGCCUUGAUGUGUAGGAUAGGUGGGAGGCUUUGAAGCGUGGACGCCAGUCUGCGUGGAGCCAACCUUGAAAUACCACCCUUUAAUGUUUGAUGUUCUAACGUAGGCCCCUAAUCGGGGUUGCGGACAGUGUCUGGUGGGUAGUUUGACUGGGGCGGUCUCCUCCCAAAGAGUAACGGAGGAGCACGAAGGUUAGCUAAUCCUGGUCGGACAUCAGGAGGUUAGUGCAAUGGCAUAAGCUAGCUUGACUGCGAGCGUGACGGCGCGAGCAGGUGCGAAAGCAGGUCAUAGUGAUCCGGUGGUUCUGAAUGGAAGGGCCAUCGCUCAACGGAUAAAAGGUACU